UAAACAGGAGAGAGAGGUAAUUACUGUAGGUUGAGGAAAGACAUAAACAGGAGAGAGAGGUAAUUACUGUAGAUUGAGGAAAGACCAACGGGAGAGACAGGUAAUUACUGUAGGUUGAGGAAAGACAUAAACAGGAGAGAGAGGUAAUUACUGUAGGUUGAGGAAAGACAUAAACAGGAGAG